rnacentral:rRNA from 1 species
GCGUUGUUCGGGAAUCAUUGGGCGUAAAGAGCGCGUAGGUGGUUUGUUAAGUCUGGUGUGAAAGCCCAGAGCUCAACUCUGGAACUGCAUCAGAAACUGGCAAACUUGAGUGUGGGAGAGGAGAGUGGAAUUCCCAGUGUAGAGGUGAAAUUCGUAGAUAUUGGGAGGAACACCGGUGGCGAAGGCGGCUCUCUGGACCACAACUGACACUGAGGCGCGAAAGCUAGGGGAGCGAACGGGAUUAGAUACCCCGGUAGUCCUAGCCGUAAACGAUGGGCACUAGGUGUGGGGGGUAUUGACCCCUUCCGUGCCGCAGCUAACGCAUUAAGUGCCCCGCCUGGGGAGUACGGUCGCAAGACUAAAACUCAAAGGAAUUGACGGGGGCCCGCACAAGCGGUGGAGCAUGUGGUUUAAUUCGACGCAACGCGAAGAACCUUACCUGGGUUUGACAUCCCUUGACAACCACAGAGAUGUGGCUUUCCUUCGGGACAAGGAGACAGGCGCUGCAUGGCUGUCGUCAGCUCGUGUCGUGAGAUGUUGGGUUAAGUCCCGCAACGAGCGCAACCCAUGCCCUUAGUUGCCAGCGAGUAAUGUCGGGAACUCUAAGGGAACUGCCGGUGACAAACCGGAGGAAGGUGUGGAUGACGUCAAGUCCUCAUGGCCCUUAUGCCCAGGGCUACACACGUGCUACAAUGGCCGAUACAGAGGGUCGCAAUACCGUGAGGUGGAGCCAAUCCCAAAAAGUCGGUCUCAGUUCAGAUUGCAGGCUGCAACCCGCCUGCAUGAAGGUGGAAUCGCUAGUAAUCCCGGAUCAGCAUGCCGGGGUGAAUACGUUCCCGGGCCUUGUACACACCGCCCGUCACACCACGAAAGCCAGUUGUACCAGAAGUCGCUGGGCCAACCCGCAAGGGAGGCAGGUGCCGAAGGUAUGGCCGGUGAUUGGGGUGAAGUCGUAACAAGGUAACC